rnacentral:lncRNA from 1 species
CUCGAUGAAGUGUGACCCGUAUUUACUCCAGAAGACAUUUUGAUAUCUGCAUAAUAUUAAAAAAAUAAAUAUAAUAUAAUUAAUUAUGAUAUUACAAUAACUAUAAAAUAUAAAAAUACAAAAUAAAAAUUUUACAUAACUUACUCUUUUUUUCCUGUUUUCUUCCUUUCUUCUAAAAGGGGACCAAACCCCCGCCUUAUCGGUUUCAAGAUUAAGAUGCAUUUUAGCCAGAACUAUUUCUUCAAGAUAUUCAUCUGUUGUGUCCUUAGUCAUUAGAAAACCAAGUCGCUUCUAAAGUCGAC